AGAGCAGCUUUGCUCCUUUUCCUAAGGCUCCUUUUCCUCCUUUUCUUUUCAUAGAUGGAUGACAUGUGUUAAAUAUAAAUCGAAUGGUUGUGAUUUAAAGGGUAGAAUUAAGUAUUUAUUUUAAUAAAACAUCAAACCAUCUCACUCUGAUACUUCCAUCUGCUUCCUCUUCCUCUCACCGCGCCGCCACUGCCGCCCCUCGCCGCUGUAAGACCCUAACAAGUUAUAGUUGCCAUGCUAUGUCUCGCCGUCGCUCAGUCUUGCUUCUCGCCAAUAUGCUCUGUUGUUAUUUUGUGUAAUUUCAUUUUCCCCUUUUUAAUUUGAGGAUUCAAUAUGUUCAUAAGUGAAUUAUUUACUGCAUUUUUUUAAAAUUGAUUGUCUUAACCAUAACAAAACCAGAAAGAAAAGAAGAAUAAGAGUGAACAAUAUUAAGAAGACUUGAUUAAUUCAAAAAGA
rnacentral:lncRNA from 1 species